UGCAAGUCGAGCGGUAACAGGAAUUAGCUUGCUAAUUUGCUGACGAGCGGCGGACGGGUGAGUAAUGCCUAGGGAACUGCCCAGUCGAGGGGGAUAACAGUUGGAAACGACUGCUAAUACCGCAUACGCCCUACGGGGGAAAAGAGGGGACCUUCGGGCCUUCUGCGAUUGGAUGUACCUAGGUGGGAUUAGCUAGUUGGUGAGGUAAUGGCUCACCAAGGCGACGAUCCCUAGCUGUUCUGAGAGGAUGAUCAGCCACACUGGGACUGAGACACGGCCCAGACUCCUACGGGAGGCAGCAGUGGGGAAUAUUGCACAAUGGGCGCAAGCCUGAUGCAGCCAUGCCGCGUGUGUGAAGAAGGCCUUCGGGUUGUAAAGCACUUUCAGCGAGGAGGAAAGCUUAAGCGUUAAUAGCGUUUAGGUGUGACGUUACUCGCAGAAGAAGGACCGGCUAACUUCGUGCCAGCAGCCGCGGUAAUACGAGGGGUCCAAGCGUUAAUCGGAAUUACUGGGCGUAAAGCGUACGCAGGCGGUUUGUUAAGCGAGAUGUGAAAGCCCCGGGCUCAACCUGGGAACUGCAUUUCGAACUGGCAGACUAGAGUCUUGUAGAGGGGGGUAGAAUUUCAGGUGUAGCGGUGAAAUGCGUAGAGAUCUGAAGGAAUACCGGUGGCGAAGGCGGCCCCCUGGACAAAGACUGACGCUCAUGUACGAAAGCGUGGGGAG
rnacentral:rRNA from 1 species